rnacentral:rRNA from 1 species
UACGUAGGGCGCAAGCGUUGUCCGGAAUUAUUGGGCGUAAAGAGCUCGUAGGCGGUUUGUUGCGUCUGCUGUGAAAACCUAAGGCUCAACCUUGGGCUUGCAGUGGGUACGGGCAGGCUAGAGUGCGGUAGGGGUGACUGGAAUUCCUGGUGUAGCGGUGGAAUGCGCAGAUAUCAGGAGGAACACCGAUGGCGAAGGCAGGUCACUGGGCCGCAACUGACGCUGAGGAGCGAAAGCGUGGGGAGCGAACAGG